UUGUGUAAUAUAGAUAGUGGGGAGGUAAUGAUGACCUUGUGUAAUAUAGAUAGUGGGGAGGUAAUGAUGACCUUGUGUAAUAUAGAUAGUGGGGAGGUAAUGAUGACCUUGUGUAAUAUAGAUAGUGGGGAGGUAAUGAUGACCUUGUGUAAUAUAGUGGGGAGGUAAUGAUGACCUUGUGUAUAUAGAUAGUGGGGAGGUAAUGAUGACCUUGUGUAAUAUAGAUAGUGGGGAGGUAAUGAUGACCUUGUGUAAUAUAGUGGGGAGGUAAUGAUGACCUUGUGUAAUAUAGAUAGUGGGGAGGUAAUGAUGACCUUGUGUAAUAUAGAUAGUGGGGAGGUAAUGAUGACCUUGUGUAAUAUAGAUAGUGGGGAGGUAAUGAUGACCUUGUGUAAUAUAGUGGGGAGGUAAUGAUGACCUUGUGUAAUAUAGUGGGGAGGUAAUGAUGACCUUGUGUAAUAUAGAUAGUGGGGAGGUAAUGAUGACCUUGUGUAAUAUAGUGGGGAGGUAAUGAUGACCUUGUGUAAUAUAGAUAGUG